AGUUAAGUAUGAAAACAUUCGAAUUCAAAACGAAAUACAAUAAUAUGCACAAUGUAAAAGUUACUGGGAAUUUAAUUGCAUAAGCUAUGUAAUAGUUGUUGAAAACUAUAUAUCCGCAGUGGUUUAUCGGCUUAGAAAACUUUAUUGUGCCCAUUUGUAAUUGAAUAUUUUUGAAUACUUAAGUUAACAAUUUUCUAAUUGCAUUUAUGCGCGUGUAUAAUUAUAUAUGUAGGUCAUUCGAACCCCCCGGAAAAUAGCCGAAUUCGACAUUGAAUCGCAAGUAUCCACCCUAUAGGUACCUAACAUAUCGAACGUGUGCGUGA